GGGGAUGUAGCCCAGUUGGUAGAGCAUUUGUCUAGCAUGCAGGAAACCCAGAGUUCAACCCCUGGCAACUCUU
rnacentral:tRNA from 1 species